UACGUAGGGUCCGAGCGUUGUCCGGAAUUAUUGGGCGUAAAGGGCUCGUAGGCGGUCCGUCGCGUCGGGAGUGAAAACUCGGAGCUUAACUCCGAGCCUGCUUCCGAUACGGGCAGACUCGAGUGUGGUAGGGGAGACUGGAACUCCUGGUGUAGCGGUGAAAUGCGCAGAUAUCAGGAGGAACACCGGUGGCGAAGGCGCACAUCUGGCCCGAUACUGACGCUGAGGCGCGAAAGCUAGGGGAGCAAACGGG
rnacentral:rRNA from 1 species